rnacentral:rRNA from 1 species
UACGAAGGGUGCAAACGUUGCCCGGAAUUAUUGGGCGUAAAGCGCACGUAGGCGGCUUUGCAAGUCCCAUGUGAAAUCCCACGGCUCAACCGUGGAAGUGCAUGGGAAACUGCAGAGCUUGAGUACUUAGGAGGAUCGCGGAAUUCCCGGUGUAGAGGUGAAAUGCGUAGAUAUCGAGAGGAACACCUGCGGCGAAGGCGGGUUGCUGGGCUGACACUGACGCUGAGGCGCGAAAGCCAGGGGAGCGAACGGG